rnacentral:rRNA from 1 species
UAGCAGUAGGGAAUCUUCCACAAUGGGCGAAAGCCUGAUGGAGCAACGCCGCGUGUGUGAUGAAGGGUUUCGGCUCGUAAAACACUGUUGUAAGAGAAGAAUGACAUUGAGAGUAACUGUUCAAUGUGUGACGGUAUCUUACCAGAAAGGAACGGCUAAAUACGUGCCAGCAGCCGCGGUAAUACGUAUGUUCCAAGCGUUAUCCGGAUUUAUUGGGCGUAAAGCGAGCGCAGACGGUUAUUUAAGUCUGAAGUGAAAGCCCUCAGCUCAACUGAGGAAUUGCUUUGGAAACUGGAUGACUUGAGUGCAGUAGAGGAAAGUGGAACUCCAUGUGUAGCGGUGGAAU